UUCUGACCGUAAACGAUGCCAACUAGCGAUCCGCCGGUGGCUUCUCGGCCCUGGUGGGGAGCUUCCCGGAAACGAAAGUCUUCCGGUUCCGGGGGAAGUAUGGUUGCAAAGCUGAAACUUAAAGGAAUUGACGGAAGGGCACCACCAGGAGUGGAGCCUGCGGCUUAAUUUGACUCAACACGGGAAAACUCACCCGGCCCGGACACCGUGAGGAUUGACAGAUUGAUAGCUUUUUCAUGAUUCGGUGGUUGGUGGUGCAUGGCCGUUCUUAGUUCGUGGAUCGAUUUGUCUGGUUUAUUCCGAUAACGAGCGAGACUCCAGCCUACUAAAUAGUGCGGGCAUUGCUUCUGUGCUUGUCACUUCUUAGAGGGAUUGGCUGCGUCUAGCGGCACGAAACGGAGCAAUAACAGGUCUGUGAUGCCCUUAGAUGUCCGGGGCUGCACGCGCGCUACACUGGCAAAAGCAGCGUGCUUGUCCGCCUCCGAAAGGAGCCGGUAAACCCUUGAAAAUUUGCCGUGAUUGGGAUCGGAAAUUGCAAUUAUUUUCCGUGAACUAGGAAUUCCUAGUAAGUGCGAGUCAUCAGCUCGCGUUG
rnacentral:rRNA from 2 species